rnacentral:misc_RNA from 1 species
AGUGUAACAUCACUAAAAUUAUGUUUUAUGUAGGUUUUUAAGAAUUGUAAUGAAUAAUACAAGGCAGUAAUUUCUAUCAAUUUUAGAGUUUGAUUAUCUCUGCCUGGUAAAGACUAUAAAAAAAAAGAAGUUAUUCAGCCAGCCCACUUUGUAGUCAUGUCUCCUGUUGUGUCAAGAGUAUGAUAGUCUGGGUGAAUUUUUGUCAAUUAGGACCAUUUAUU